CCUACGGGAGGCAGCAGUGAGGAAUAUUGGUCAAUGGACGAGAGUCUGAACCAGCCAAGUAGCGUGAAGGAUGACUGCCCUAUGGGUUGUAAACUUCUUUUAUCUGGGAAUAAAAUGUUCCACGUGUGGGCUUUUGUAUGUACCAUAUGAAUAAGGAUCGGCUAACUCCGUGCCAGCAGCCGCGGUGAUACGGAGGAUCCGAGCGUUAUCCGGAUUUAUUGGGUUUAAAGGGAGAGUAGGGGGAUUGUUAAGUCAGUUGUGAAAGUUUGCGGCUCAACCGUAAAAUUGCAGUUGAAACUGGCAGUCUUGAGUACAGUAGAGGUGGGCGGAAUUCGUGGUGUAGCGGUGAAAUGCUUAGAUAUCACGAAGAACUCCGAUUGCGAAGGCAGCUCACUGGACUGCAACUGACACUGAGGCUCGAAAGUGUGGGUAUCAAACAGGAUUAGAUACCCGAGUAGUC
rnacentral:rRNA from 1 species